UUUAGCAGGUUGUGUUUCCGUUUCAGUCAGAGUACAGGUCCCGUUUCUCACCAGACUCUGGGAACAUCCACCCUCUUCCUUCGUUUCACAGGUUAGGGCGGGCCUUCUUGACCUGCUUCUUCAAUCCACCAUGGAGCUCUUCAUUGUGCACCUGCUGGACUGGGGAGAUGUCUUCUUGAACACGUUGGCGGAGACGACCAUGCUCUGCGUUUUCAACAGGGGGGUGAGCGGAUCACUGUUGGAAGUGACAUGAUCGCCAGUGGUACUACAGCGGCCCUUACAUCCUUGAACAACAUCUCUCAUGAUCAAGGUUUAAUUGUAACAACAAUGUUUGGGAGAUAAUCAUCAUCUGUGUACACACAUAAUCCGUACUAUUAACGAUAUGUAGAAACAGUAAGCAUGGUAAGGUUCCAUGAUCAGUAUAUUUCACUUAUGGAGAAGCCUGUUCUCUCAUGACCAAAGUAUGUGAGUAUGGUAAGAUCAAGAUCAAACAGUCACUUUGUCAGUCACUAAGAACUUGGAGCAGAGUAGUAUACAGGCACAGGUAAUUAUACUUGGGACAUAUUCAUUUAUGCAAAAGGAGUGUCCCACAUUCCCUUCACUUUCACCGUUGACAAAUUGGGAUAUAGGCAAAAUGGUACUAAACGUUUGAUUUCUGUUUACACAGAUGGUAACCAACAGAGCCACACAAA
rnacentral:lncRNA from 1 species